AUGAGAAUCUAAUGGUGCCGCUGGUCUCACAGGAGGAGGAGCCCAGGAGGAGCUUACCGGUACCAGUCUGUGGCCCAGGGUUUGAGAAUCCCUGCUUUGAGGUUUUGCUCAACAGGGUAAAGUCAUGUAAGUUUUACCUGGUAGACUGAUAGGUGUUUCUUUAUCUGGAAAACCUGGUGUCACCGACAAAGAGAACAAGUCUGGAACAACGGGACUCAGGACAAGGGAAAGAAGCAUGUGACAAAGAACUGGCAACAUCAGAUGGACCUGUCCUGACUCAGACAUGAGAAAUAUGUUCAUCAAUUUCACCGACCCAUCCUGCUGCUCGUCUCUCUCCCCCAUCUCCUUCUUGGUGCCUUCUAGGACUGUCAAGAGAUAUGGUUUACUUCUUUGAUAAAAUGU
rnacentral:lncRNA from 1 species